CAGCAGCAACAUACCGAUGGCCCCGGCUUACCUGCCGAUCUUCUGCCGGACAGACCCCCUAAACCAUCCAAACCAUUCAAACCGGGAGGGCCAGGAAAACCGUCAGUCGCUGUUGCGGGAGUAGCAGGGGCAGCUGCAACUUACGGAAUCAGUUCAUUGAUGGGAAGUUCCAAUGAACACCACUCUACUUCCCCACCAUUUUCUCCUCACCACGAAUCAACACUGCAUCCCGCCCAGCAGCCAGACAAUCCUCUGUUCAAUGGUGGACGCCCACCAAAACCAAACAAGCACCAUUCCAUGCCUAUUGUAGGUGCCGCCGCACUGGGCGCUGCCGCAGGAUAUGCCGCAUCGACAAGCCAAACGACUGUCUCCCCGCAGAGACCCAGUAUGUACUCUGGUAUCGUACACCAGCAACCCUUCCAAACG
rnacentral:sRNA from 2 species